rnacentral:tRNA from 1 species
GUGGUCGUAGCUCAGCUGGUAGAGCAUCAGUUUGUGGUACUGAGGGUCGCGGGUUCGAGCCCCGUCGAUCACCCCA